AUUGAACGCUGGCGGCAUGCCUAACACAUGCAAGUCGAGCGGAUGAAGGGAGCUUGCUCCUGGAUUCAGCGGCGGACGGGUGAGUAAUGCCUAGGAAUCUGCCUGGUAGUGGGGGAUAACGUCCGGAAACGGGCGCUAAUACCGCAUACGUCCUGAGGGAGAAAGUGGGUGAUCUUCGGACCUCACGCUAUCAGAUGAGCCUAGGUCGGAUUAGCUAGUUGGUGGGGUAAAGGCCUACCAAGGCGACGAUCCGUAACUGGUCUGAGAGGAUGAUCAGUCACACCGGAAGUGAGACACGGUCCAGACUCCUACGGGAGGAAGCAGUGGGGAAUAUUGGACAAUGGGCGAAAGCCUGAUCCAGCCAUGCCGCGUGUGUGAAGAAGGUCUUCGGAUUGUAAAGCACUUUAAGUUGGGAGGAAGGGCAGUAAGUUAAUACCUUGCUGUUUUGACGUUACCAACAGAAUAAGCACCGGCUAACUUCGUG
rnacentral:rRNA from 1 species